GAGGUAAUGGAAAUUUAUGUGCUUCUUUAAUGACGAGCACACCCAAAUACCCAAAAGAUUUAAAAGACUCAAAACUACUGGCCUGCUGUAUGAAAAAAAAUCUGGUUUUCAAGGCUUAAAAACACAAUUCACAGUUCGUUUGGUCGAGAUAACAACGUUUAGUAUCUAAAAAGACUUGUAUGUGUUGGCCAGACAGACCAUAAUUUUCAGUUCAUUAGCUCUAUUCCCCUACAUAUGCACCAGCGGUGUACAAAGUCACAUCCUACAAUGGCAACAUCAUACUGUCACUACGCUAAACAAUAUCCACCUCCAACAUCUCUUCAUCUCGUCCAUCUUCAUCAUCACCUGCAUCAUCACGCUUGAACUGCAAACUAGAACCUCGAGGAAGAGGAGGAGGAGGUGGUAGAAAAGGAUAUUCUGUGAUACCAGAAGGAACUCCCUUCCCAGCUCUUCUUGUAGCAUUCCCAGCUACUUCAAGCUUUUCCUCUGUCUCGCCAACUUCGG
rnacentral:misc_RNA from 1 species